rnacentral:rRNA from 1 species
UACGGAGGGUGCAAGCGUUGUCCGGAUUUAUUGGGUUUAAAGGGUGCGUAGGCGGCCCUUUAAGUCAGUGGUGAAAUCCCAGGGCUCAACCCUGGAACUGCCAUUGAUACUGGCGGGCUUGAGUUCGGUUAAGGCGGGCGGAACUGGUGGUGUAGCGGUGAAAUGCAUAGAUACCACCAAGAACACCGAUUGCGAAGGCAGCUCACUGAGCCUAAACUGACGCUGAGGCACGAAAGCGUGGGGAGCAAAC